rnacentral:piRNA from 1 species
UAAACAAAUGUCUUUUUAGGUCCAUAAU